rnacentral:rRNA from 1 species
UACGUAGGGUGCAAGCGUUGUCCGGAAUUAUUGGGCGUAAAGAGCUCGUAGGCGGUCUGUCGCGUCUGCUGUGAAAACUCAGGGCUUAACCCUGAGCUUGCAGUGGGUACGGGCAGACUAGAGUGCGGUAGGGGAGACUGGAAUUCCUGGUGUAGCGGUGAAAUGCGCAGAUAUCAGGAGGAACACCGGUGGCGAAGGCGGCUUCCUGGCCUGUUCUUGACGCUGGAGGCG